rnacentral:rRNA from 1 species
AGGACGAACGCUGGCGGCGUGCUUAACACAUGCAAGUCGAACGAUGAUGCCCAGCUUGCUGGGUGGAUUAGUGGCGAACGGGUGAGUAACACGUGAGUAACCUGCCCCUGACUCUGGGAUAAGCGUUGGAAACGACGUCUAAUACUGGAUAUGACUGCCGGCCGCAUGGUCUGGUGGUGGAAAGAUUUUUUGGUUGGGGAUGGACUCGCGGCCUAUCAGCUUGUUGGUGAGGUAAUGGCUCACCAAGGCGACGACGGGUAGCCGGCCUGAGAGGGUGACCGGCCACACUGGGACUGAGACACGGCCCAGACUCCUACGGGAGGCAGCAGUGGGGAAUAUUGCACAAUGGGCGAAAGCCUGAUGCAGCAACGCCGCGUGAGGGAUGACGGCCUUCGGGUUGUAAACCUCUUUUAGUAGGGAAGAAGCGUAAGUGACGGUACCUGCAGAAAAAGCACCGGCUAACUACGUGCCAGCAGCCGCGGUAAUACGUAGGGUGCAAGCGUUGUCCGGAAUUAUUGGGCGUAAAGAGCUCGUAGGCGGUUUGUCGCGUCUGCUGUGAAAUCCCGAGGCUCAACCUCGGGCUUGCAGUGGGUACGGGCAGACUAGAGUGCGGUAGGGGAGAUUGGAAUUCCUGGUGUAGCGGUGGAAUGCGCAGAUAUCAGGAGGAACACCGAUGGCGAAGGCAGAUCUCUGGGCCGUAACUGACGCUGAGGAGCGAAAGCGUGGGGAGCGAACAGGAUUAGAUACCCUGGUAGUCCACGCCGUAAACGUUGGGCGCUAGAUGUAGGGACCUUUCCACGGUUUCUGUGUCGUAGCUAACGCAUUAAGCGCCCCGCCUGGGGAGUACGGCCGCAAGGCUAAAACUCAAAGGAAUUGACGGGGGCCCGCACAAGCGGCGGAGCAUGCGGAUUAAUUCGAUGCAACGCGAAGAACCUUACCAAGGCUUGACAUACACCGGAAACGGCCAGAGAUGGUUGCCCCCUUGUGGUCGGUGUACAGGUGGUGCAUGGUUGUCGUCAGCUCGUGUCGUGAGAUGUUGGGUUAAGUCCCGCAACGAGCGCAACCCUCGUUCUAUGUUGCCAGCGCGUUAUGGCGGGGACUCAUAGGAGACUGCCGGGGUCAACUCGGAGGAAGGUGGGGAUGACGUCAAAUCAUCAUGCCCCUUAUGUCUUGGGCUUCACGCAUGCUACAAUGGCCGGUACAAAGGGCUGCGAUACCGUAAGGUGGAGCGAAUCCCAAAAAGCCGGUCUCAGUUCGGAUUGAGGUCUGCAACUCGACCUCAUGAAGUCGGAGUCGCUAGUAAUCGCAGAUCAGCAACGCUGCGGUGAAUACG